AGAGACUGUUCAUGGUGCUGUGGGUCAAGGGAGUCACCUUCAAUGUUACCACCAUUGACACCAAGAGAUGGACCGAGAGAGUGCAGAAGCUGUGCCCAGGAGGGCAGCUCCCAUUCCUGCUGUAUGGCACUGAAGUGCACACAGACACCAACAAGAUGGAGGAAUUUCCGGAGGCAGUGCUGUGCCCUCCCAGAUACCCCAAGCUGGCAGCUCUGAACCCUGAGUCCAACACAGCCAGGCUGGACAUAUUUGCCAAAUUUUCUGCCAACAUCAAGAAUUCAAACCCAGCACUCAAUGAUAAUCUGGAGAAGGGACUCCUAGAAGCCCUGCAGGUUUUAGACAAUUACUUAACAUCCCCCCUCCCAGAAGAAGUGGAUGAAACCAGUGCUGAAGAUGAGGGCAUCUCUCAGAGGAAGUUUCUGAAUGGCAACGAACUCACCCUGGCUGACCGCAACCUGUUGCCAAAGCUGCACAUAGUACAGGUGGUGUGUAAGAAGUACCGGGGAUUUACCAUCCCCGAGGCCUUCCCCGGAGUGCAUAGGCACUUGAGCAAUGCUUAUGUGUGGGAAGAAUCUGCCUCCACCUGCCCAGGUGGCGAGGAGAUCAAGCUCGCCUAUGAUUAA